UGGCUGCUCAUUAUGUGUGCAGUUUAGCAUGUCGCUAGCGGUCAAUGUGCACUGACGAAUAAUCCACCAUUUUGGUGCCAACCACCGCGUCACUCAUGUCGCAACUCUCUUUAUAAAUAGCGCUGCUGAUCCUGGAUUUGGAUUGAAGUGGUUGAAUCACUUACAUGUAUUCGCAAACUGUCCAGAAAGAUUGAAGCACAAACUACAAGGAGCGAUGGAGUCAAUUCUACUGCCGAGUCUUUACGAUUGCCCAGACCGCUUGGGAAAGUCGUACGAAAUUUUCUGUUCCCGGUCUGCGAAAUUCAGUGAGUACUCCGAUUGGGUGGACAAAGUGUUCAGCGAGGCGGUCGUCUGUCAACUCCAAACUACACUGGACGGACAGGAAGAGCUGCAGGUACUCGGAGUAGGCAGUGGAUCUGGUAUGAUCGAUUAUGCAAUGUUGAGGAAGCUUUUGCAACGAUUCCCGCGCAUCAAUAACCGUGUAGUUGAGCCAGAUCAAGAAGAGUUAAAGAAGUACAAGGCUUUGGUGCAAUCCAAGGCUCGCGAACUACGCGGCGUGACCUGCGAUUGGCGGGAGCAGACGAUUGAGCAAUACCAAAAGGCGGGAGAGUUGAAAAAGUUUCAUUUCAUCAGCACGAUUCACUGCCUGUACCAUGUGGACGACUUGGAUAGCUCGUUGACUUACCUGUACGAUUGUUUGGAACGUGGUGGAGUUAUGCUGGUUAGUUUGUCAUCAGAUGCCAGUGGUCGUGGUCGUUUCCAGAAUCGGUUGCAAUCUGUUCAUGGCAAAUGCCCUCUGUUUACCACAAGGCGAUCGUCGGCCGACGUGCGAAGUUUCUUUGACCGCCGUGGCACCUGGUACACUCAACUUCCAAUUCCCAGGCGCCUAAACAUCACGGAGUGCUUCGACGAAGCCUCAGCGGAGGGGGAACUGCUGACGGAUUUCCUCACCACCAUCGCGCACUUCAAGCAGACGGCGCCCAAGGAGCUUCAACAGUCUGUGAUGGAGUCUCUCGGUAGCAACGAUUGCUGUGAGAGGAUCGGGGGUCAGGUGUGGCUCGAUGUUGGGGAUGACGCUUUGAUAACUAAGCGAGUCGAAACCACCUAACUCUGAGCAACUAAAAACGGCAGACGGAACAAUGAGAAUUGCCAAAAGGUUUGUAAAGUUUAAAAUGUAAUUACAGUUAGCUGAGUGAGUAUAGUGUUCACUUUUUAAUUUCUGUCCGGGAAAUCCUCCAUUGUGGGAAGUGUCACCAACUUCUGAAGAGUUUGUGUUACAAGCUAUAUUAUGUUCAGUGAUGUUUAAACCUGGUACUUUUUCUGAAACCAGUGUUUUUUCUUCCUUAUUUCUGCAAGGAAUCUUUCUGUCACAGGUCAUUCAAAAUGGGGCUGGGUGACUUGCGAUGGAUUAGACUGGACAGCCUUGUUUUUUUUCUCCCAAGAUCAUGAACUAUCACCAUUGGAGCAAAGUGGUAAACCACAGUUCUGAAUAGGUUCAGCAUUCUAUUGGUUGGAUGAAUCCUCGCCAUGUUCACUGUCAACCAUACUCAGCGCGCACGUCUAUGCCACAAAUCUAUAUAGGUGUUCUGGACACUUUGUUUUCGCGUAAAAAAUAGAGCAAAACAGAAAACGUUUUAUUUGCACUGUAAAAACAUGAUCAUUUGUGUUCAUUAUUACCUACAAUAUUUUCUCUUUUUGUGUUACGGAUAACUCAGCGCAUAUCCUUCAUCUAAAAAUAAUCGGGGGAGAGCAUGUGCAGGACUUAGUCAAGUCCAUCUGGCAUGUUUCGACCGAAAUUUGUAUCUUUGUGGAGACAUGGACGUGUCAUGUUGACGUUCACACAAACUGUUCUGUGACGAUCGUUCGCUGGUUGUCGGACUCAUGUGCACAGUACGUAAGCCAAGCUGUCAGACAGGACUGCUGGAUCUUUGAAGACUAGUUUCUACAAACGGUCGGGUGAACGCCGACCCUGCCAAAGGCCUAUAUACAAUGUACAUACCUGGACUUUGUAAAUGUUGCUGAGUAGUUUAGAGCAUUGGUGUAUAUAGAGACAGUAGCGCCAACUUUAGAAUCAAAAUGGCUGUUUCAUGUGAUUGUGUAAAGUACAGCACGCAGCUAUUGUAGAACAUCAAAAAGACGCUGUUAUGAAAAACCAAUGAAUUAAAAGGCCGGUAACAUCCUUUACGAACACAGACGUCCGUACAAUUUCAAAGACAGGCCAUGUGUAAAUGAAAUUAUUUGGCACACAGAAGAAUAAAUAUUUUUAUUUGCUCUGUGCACUGAUACAUAAUCCACCAUGUCAGUUCCAACAAUUGAGACACCCGUGUCGCCACUCUCUAUGAACAGCUCUGGUUUAGGGUGGAGUGACUCCUGCUUAGUAGAGAUUCUUUGCAUUCUCUUUACUUACCGUGUGACGUCACUUAAGGGAGGGGUACUCCCUUGCAUACGUUCCAGUGGAUAGUAAUGGGUAAUCUGCAUCCGCCUUGAGCAGAAGCAACCCCCCCCCCAUGUCACUCGAUGGAGAAGCAGUUAAUAUGAUGUCCGGACGUGGUGGGGUGUAGAGAGGAUGCUAACUGAGGAUCCAACCAAGGGCACUCGAGCGGAACGAGGGAUUCUAGCAGAUCAGUGAGGUGUGUCAGUCUGAAGGAGGGGAGCUUGGGGGAAGGUUGCCAAGAGUAUAGGAGACUCAUAGGCUGUGGACUUGUCCUAUAUAUAGGGUAGCCUACAGGAGCCCCAUUGGACUGGGAUAUGAGGAUGGAACGCCAAAUGUUGCUGAUGUUGAAACCGAUGUCUUGGGGUGCCAAGUUAGCAUCCUCUCCACACCGCACGGCCUCCAGGCAUUAUAUAAACUGCCUCAUCAUUGGAAGUUCUGCAGUCUCCUGACGACAGACUGAGCAGACUGUCCGAAACAUUGAGCACCCUCGCUUCUUUUCAGAUCCACACUUACUCAAAAGAGGUAUCCUUGCAUGGUGCUACCGCAAACCUGUUUAUCUAACUUGCCACCUUCACCAUGGAAAGCUUUUAACUCACGAGCCAUAUGCAUGUUGGUCGGGAGUGCUCAGUUUGUUGGUAGCGAUAUGAUCGCAACGUGUGUAUAUCCCAGUCGUUUGUGAAACAGCAACGUUCGAAUUCAGUUCGACCAAAGGAGCUUCUGUUGCUAACAAAAUAGUGUCAUCUCUUGGUCCAGCUCGGUGCUCAUGAUGGCCAGAGCACAUGCUUACAUGUUGAAGAAUCACGAUUGGGUGCCGGCGGAUGCAACGUGUCUUUUGAGUUGAUUUAAUUACCUAUUUUGAUUGCCGAGAUAGACUGCUCAGAAUACAACUUAUGUGUUAUGUUGUCAAAGUAAAGGUAAAUUUCAUCAGCUUCUCUCUGUUUACAGUGUACAUGCAUUAUUUUAUGUACCUCGUUCCCCAUGUCAGCCAUGCCUGUAUAUUUCCUGAACUUUUAUGAGUGUGUAAUUUUUACUGGUCACGCAGUUGUAAUUUUAGUGCUGGCUCUGAUGGGUGCCUUCUAAAAGUAAAAUGAGAAUGGCACUUUUUUACUUGAUUGAACCUGUUAUAUAACGCCUCUACUCUCACUAGUUUUGUUCCCGUUUGCUGUAUGCGAAAGCUGCAUGAUUCUUUUUGUUCGUAUGGAAUGUCUCAUUCUGCAUUUAAGGCUUAAUAGCGGGCUGCUCGGCCUCGGUCGGUGUCAGUUAUGGUGUCUGUGCGUGAGUGCAGGUUGAGGUCCGCACCACUGUCCCGAAGAAGGCUGCGUUGCUGCUUGGCUCUACCUGUGGGCUACCGGUGGUGAUUGGUGCUGGCGUCCGUGCUGGUGUGGCGGUCCUGUCCAGGGGGUGCGGCCUUGAUGUCUGUGCUCACCGUUCUGUACCGACCGGGCAGCGGUCUGUAUUUUUUGCUCGUGCGUUGACAUCAGUAAUUCGGUGAUGUUUCACCAGCUGUACCACGCACAGAAGUCGGCAUGCAUCCAGCGGGUGAGAUAAUUCCCGUCAAGAGUGACAAAGCCAGGUGUUGUUUAGAUUUUAAAUGCAGUUUGACAUAGGAAAAGUUCAGUUUACAGUUCCUUUUUCCUUUUGAAUCUUCCUGUUUGUUAAUGUAAGCCCUAGCGCUCCAUUUGCAGUCUGGCUACACUCACCAUAUAAGCAGACCAUACAUGUACACGUAUUGUUUCUUGUAUUGUGUGGUCUUCUGCUUGAGUCCUGUCUGCUGAAGUCAUUGAUUGAAGUCAGAGUGCUUUCAAAUUCAUUCAUUUACGACACACACUGUGUUGGUUUAGGGGUUUACAUUUUGGAUUUUAAAUUUCUGGUUUUAGUAAAUCUUGGUGACUUUUCAAUGGUUUAACGGUUCAGUGUAAGCCACUGCAUCACCCCCUUGCUAUUUCUAUAAAUAAUUUUUUGUCCUUUUUGUUAUCGAGAUCUUGAAUUGGCGUCUGAGUCUAUUCAAUCGAUUUUGCAUGAUUUCUCCUCCAAAGAUCCUCAAUUUACUGAAAGUAGGCCUAUCUGUAGUGCAAGUUCCCCACAAUUUCCAGGUAACACAGGCAUGCAACUGAAGAAAUUUAGGUACGAUCACGGCGUCACAUCUGGUGCCCAGGAGGGAAAUUGCGAGAUCAGAUUGUGAAAGCGUGGAUAAAAUACAAUGGUAUUAGAGCUACGCGCAUUCACUUUGUGACAGAGAGGGCGUUUUGACUUUUUCCCACAAUGCAGUGUGCUGACGGGUUCUGUUGACAGCGCACCACCUUCAUGCUUUCGAACCAGAAUUGUGUGGUGUAGGUACAGCUACACUGUUUGGAUUGCCUUCCACAAUAAAUCACAUGUUUAAAGUGUACAUAAAUGUUUCACAUUUGUGAAAUAAACGUAGUUUAAUAAAUAUGACAACAUAUAUGUUGUCUGCAGUGCCUGUUAACAAAUUGGAUGCAAGUCAGCCAGGAGACCCUUUUUAGUCCUGUUUCUGAAUGACUUGUGUGUUUGUGUUCACUUUUUGUACAAAACGGUGUAUUCAUGUAUUUUGAAAAGUUUUUCAGAAUCUUUUCAUUGUGAUUUGAAUGUACAGAUUUUUUUUACCUACAAAAUAAUAAAUCAAAUGGAAUGAUAACAAACUUGGUAGACAUGAAGGAUGUCUGCACUAAAAAUGCAGGGGAUGUGGGUUCGAAUCCACACAUGGGCAAGGUUGUGAUUGGGCUCUCCGAAAGCAAUAAGACUACAUUGCUGAACAAAUAGUUUGAAUGAAUAUUUUGAGGGUUUUUUUUAAGAUAACAUGGAAAGCACAGUGGAGGUGGAGGUGCAUGAUCAGCUGGACACAAAUCUUCGACAAAAAAAAAAAAGAUCUGAGUAGGAUUUGAACCCGUGACCCUCCGCAAUAACACACAAGUGCUUUAUCAAUUUUUUCCACCUGGCCUUAUGAUGACAAUCUCUCUGUCAGAACAUUUUUAUUCAAAGUAGUGCUACAUUGAUAAUUUAAUUGUCUAAAGUGUUAGAUAUUUCAGUAUAAUUUCCCACACAUCCCAGGAAUUAGGGUUUAAAAUAUAAUCACUCUUGAACUAACAUACUCGGUCAUCAAUACUUAUUAAAAAUGUCUGCGAGGGAUAUUAAUGAUA